AUACAACAGGGCCUGGAGUAUAUAGCUCGGUGGAAGAGCACUUGCCUACAAUGCACAAGGCCCGGGGUUUGAAUCAAGACACUACUAACAAACAACAGAAAAAAUGAAAGGCUUCUCAGAUAGCUGCAGAAGUACAGAAAAUGCAGAGCAAGGCAAAGCUGAGCUGUAAUUCAGAAGCCAGGUUCAAGAAAGUACCAGCAUCUCUAAAAACCACUAGGGACUCCUGGGAAGAAAUUUUCACAGCUGAUAGCCAGGCCUUCAAAUGGGGCUGUUUCCCUAGAAAUUUCAAUGGUUGCAGAAAACCAGUCACUGAUCAAUUCGAGUCAGAGUUUUCCAAAGGAGCUUUGCUUUCAAAUUGGAAAGGCCUUUUACAAUGCCUUCUUCAAGCUAUGGUUUCCUUUUAUGCAUGCAUGAGGAUGAUUCUUAAAAACUAUGUAGCAGCUA